GUAACACUAACUGGAGGACCGAACCGACUAAUGUUGAAAAAUUAGCGGAUGACCUGUGGCUGGGGGUGAAAGGCCAAUCAAACCGGGAGAUAGCUGGUUCUCCCCGAAAGCUAUUUAGGUAGCGCCUCGUGAAUUCAUCUCCGGGGGUAGAGCACUGUUUCGGCUAGGGGGCCAUCCCGGCUUACCAACCCGAUGCAAACUGCGAAUACCGGAGAAUGUUAUCACGGGAGACACACGGCGGGUGCUAACGUCCGUCGUGAAGAGGGAAACAACCCAGACCGCCAGCUAAGGUCCCAAAGUCAUGGUUAAGUGGGAAACGAUGUGGGAAGGCCCAGACAGCCAGGAUGUUGGCUUAGAAGCAGCCAUCAUUUAAAGAAAGCGUAAUAGCUCACUGGUCGAGUCGGCCUGCGCGGAAGAUGUAACGGGGCUAAACCAUGCACCGAAGCUGCGGCAGCGAACGUAUCACUUAAAGCGAUUCAGCGGGUUACGAUUGACGGAGCGAAGCGACGUCAAAGCGUAUACAAAGUCGAGUCGGUUUA
rnacentral:rRNA from 1 species